UUGUCGGAGAGUUUGAUCCUGGCUCAGGAUUAACGCUGGCGGCGUGCAUGAGACAUGCAAGUCGAACGGACGAUCAGGGCUUGCUCUGGUCGUUAGUGGCGGACGGCUGAGUAACGCGUAGGUGACCUGCCCCGAAGUGGGGAACAACUGCCCGAAAGGGUGGCUAAUACCGCAUAUGGUCGGUCGUUCAUUCGCCCGAUCAAAGCCGAAAGGCGCUUCGGGAGGGGCUUGCGUCCGAUUAGCUCGUUGGUGGGGUAACGGCUCACCAAGGCGACGAUCGGUAGGUGGUCUGAGAGGACGAUCACCCAGACUGGGACUGAGACACGGCCCAGACUCCUACGGGAGGCAGCAGUCGGGAAUUUUGCGCAAUGGGCGAAAGCCUGACGCAGCAACGCCGCGUGAGGGAUGAAGGCCUUCGGGUCGUAAACCUCUUUUCUCAGGGACGAUGAUGACGGUACCUGAGGAAGAAGCCACGGCAAACUACGUGCCAGCAGCCGCGGUAAUACGUAGGUGGCGAGCGUUGUCCGGAUUUACUGGGCGUAAAGAGCGCGCAGGCGGUCGUUCAAGUCGAAUGUGAAAGCCCCCGGCUCAACUGGGGAGGGUCAUUCGAUACUGAUCGACUCGAAGGCGGGAGAGGGAAGCGGAAUUCCCGGUGUAGUGGUGAAAUGCGUAGAUAUCGGGAGGAACACCAGUGGCGAAGGCGGCUUCCUGGCCCGUUCUUGACGCUGAGGCGCGAAAGCUAGGGGAGCAAACGGGAUUAGAUACCCCGGUAGUCCUAGCCGUAAACGAUGGACACUAGGUGUUGGUGGUAUCAACCCCGCCAG
rfam:Chloroflexi bacterium GWC2_73_18 gwc2_scaffold_3143, whole genome shotgun sequence.